GUUGAGAGAACUCAGUUCAACAGUUCUCCUGUGCCUCUGUCUUCUUAAGGGCUAUGGAAGCUCUGCUGAAAUCUAAUAGCUCACAUAGGAUAUCAUAAAGAUGAGUCUGCUGUACAUGACACCUCUAAACUUUCAGCAAUAAGUAAUGAAGAACUGUGAGAACAGAGAAACACAGGAGAUCUGUCUGGAGCCUGUUUUAGAUGUUGAGCGUUUCAUUUAAGAGACUCUUUCAGUUCUCCACCAUUGCUGCAUUUGCACAUUAUGCACAAGAGGAGGAAAAUACUGCUUUUUCAUCACUGUUAAUGCUUUUCCAAGUGUCUUUGAAUGCACAGAGCUUAUGCUCGCUGUCUAGAAGGACUUACAUGAGAAGAGAGGGAUUCCUGUCUCUUUUAGUCUGGUCCCUCCCAUGACUGAAAACUGGAUUCUUUCAUGUUGAAGAUACUUAAUAUAAGAGGAUUUUCAACACCCCUCACCCCAGCUCUCAAUGCAGAUGUGUACAUUAAGGCCCUAAGCCACACUUCUGUCCCAGAAAAUGUUAGUUUCCUGUACUUCAGGCACGAUGAAAAUCCUAUCUGAAAGGCAAACUAUACCUGAAACAGGGAGGGGGAAAACAUGCUCAAAUUCAGUUGCCAGAAGUUUCUUAACAUGUGGGAUACAAUACAGAUCCUCUAACUGUGUUGGUACAGCAGCACAAAUAACAGUGAUGCAGUCUGCUUUGAAAGGUCUGUAAAUGCUGCAGCAUUUAAGAUUAUCUGGGGAUUUUUCAUUAAUCUCAGUUUUUGAUGGAUAAAACAUAAUGGGAUUUCUCGUAAGACUCUGAAUGGGUAAUAAGACAUAGAAAACCUCUAUGCUUUUUGUUUUAAUUCAAAUGGUCAUGCAUUAUUCAAGGUGAAAGCCUACUAUAUUAAUUUAGGAAACAUAAAGCACAGCUAAUACUGAUCCUUUCCUUCUUGCAAGGGAGGGAAUAACAUUUAAACAUGUUUAAUUGAUGCUAUUUUUUAAACCACAUGACCUAUAUCCCAGUAACUUGUUCUUUCCAAAAUCUCACUAAUGAACUACUAUGAAUAAAUGAGGGAGAACAGACAAUAUUUUCAGGGCUUCUUAAAAUAAAAUAAAAAAUCAAAGCAAAUUGAUCCUAUGUCUAAUGAAGGAGCUGCAUGUCGUCCUUGCUGGAAUUGUUUACUUAGAUUACCAGGAAAGGGAAUCCCUGUUCUUAGGGAUGGUUAUAGGGAAGUUUGAAUUACCUGAUGGACUAUUCAGUUGUGAUGAAGUCAGGAGACAAUACGAAUGCUGACAUCCUAGGUCUCAGAAAAUCAAACAGAAAAUUAUUUUCGAGCAUGAUUGUAUGCUUCUUUAAGUAUUCAUUCUAUAUUAGCAAAAAAUAUUGAUAAUAAAUAGCGGAAUAUUCCAAUAUAUCGUUAGCGUUUUUUUUAUGUCUGUUUUGUUUUCUAAUGAUGUCUUUCAAAUGCUUAUUUAUAUUACACAAAUGUCAUUUUAUGUAACUGAGCUGUCAUUUUCCUGUGUUUGGGAAUAUCUUAUCUCAUAAUUAGAGGUGUUGCUGCUGAAACAAGCUGGUGUGAAUUUGAAUUCUAUCCCAAAACCAUACCUAAGGAAAGUGCAUAAAAGUUAAUUUUGUGUACCCACGCUAGAUUACAUAGAAUACAGGAACCAUUUCUAAGUAUUGACAAAUGUGUAGUGUAAAAUUGACCCCACAUGAGUGGGUCAUUAGCGGUAUGAGUAAAAUUUGCUAACUUGGAUGGAAGUAGAAAGAGCUAAGAUUCAUGAUAAUGGAGAGUGCUGAAAGGAUACCUUGCUGUGAAAGAUACACUGCAGACAAAUACACUAUUUGCUAUAUUUACUGCAUAUAUUUCUGUCAAAUGUAUACAGUACUCUUGGGCAACCAUCAAAAAACAUUUGAAAUGUGUAUGGUACAAGCACAGAUGUAGAGUAUUUUAAGUUGCAAUAUGGGUGGUGUCCUCAUUGUUUCAUAAAAACGUUUGCAUACUUUUAAGCUACAUGUUUAUAAAACACUAGGAAGUGAAAUAUGUAUCUAAUUUUCUAAUAAUGUCCCAUUUUUUAUUAGUAUUAAGUGCCCCACUAUAACUGAAGAUUGUUGGAUAAAUGAAAUUUCCAGGAUGGGUGCAAUGACAUUACCAGGUUUGAAACAGAAGAGUGGGCUGGAAAAGUAACUCUAAACAUGGCUGUGCAGGCUAUAAUUAUAGCUAAAGGCUGUUCCUGUGGAAACAAAGGAAAAAAAAUCUUCCAAUGCAUUUUUAUUUUUAUUUUUAUUUUUACUUUUUUGGUGCAUAAAAUUAAGGAUUCCUUCUCUUAGAAAAUUAAACUCAUCAAAAUAUUCCAACACUUUUACUUUGCCCCAUAUUUUUAUUUCUAGUGCUUAUAGGUGGCUGAGGGUUUGUGAGCCAUACGGUGCUCCCCAUUGUAUGCCACGCUUAGAGCUAGGUGGGAAUAGCAUCUCUGCCUCCAGCUUCUCAGUGAGGGAGUUCCUCUGUUUUUCCAUAAGGAUUAGGUAUGCUAAUUCAUCCCAUAUGUAGAGAAUAAAUUACAUAAAUUUCCUUUAGAAGGAGGUAAUGUGCUUUUUCAGGAAAGAUGGGAUGGGAAUGAUAUACUCUUUUUAAGUAACAAGACUGAAAAUACCAUGGAAAUGGGAUCAUGAUGGAUUUAAA